UGAGGAAUAUUGGUCAAUGGGCGAGAGCCUGAACCAGCCAAGUCGCGUGCAGGAUGACGGCCCUAUGGGUUGUAAACUGCUUUUAUGUGGGGAUAAAGUGCGUGACGUGUCAUGCAUUGCAGGUACCACAUGAAUAAGGACCGGCUAAUUCCGUGCCAGCAGCCGCGGUAAUACGGAAGGUCCGGGCGUUAUCCGGAUUUAUUGGGUUUAAAGGGAGCGUAGGCUGUCUAUUAAGCGUGUUGUGAAAUAUACCGGCUCAACCGGUGGCUUGCAGCGCGAACUGGUCGACUUGAGUAUGCAGGAAGUAGGCGGAAUUCAUGGUGUAGCGGUGAAAUGCUUAGAUAUCAUGACGAACUCCGAUUGCGCAGGCAGCUUACUGUAGCAUAACUGACGCUGAUACUCGAAAGUGCGGGUAUCAAACAGG
rnacentral:rRNA from 1 species